UCCACGCCGUAAACGAUGUCUACUAGGUUGUGGAAGUUCUGACGCUUGCACGGCCGAAGCAAAAGUGCUAAGUAGACCGCCUGGGGAGUACGGCCGCAAGGCUAAAACUCAAAGGAAUUGACGGGGGCUCACACAAGCGGUGGAGCAUGUGGAUCAAUUCGAAGCAACGCGUAGAACCUUACCUGGGUUUGACAUGCUUGGAUGCGCGCUUGGAAACAGGUUGCGCUGCCCUUCGGGGUGAAACUUGCACAGG
rnacentral:rRNA from 1 species